rnacentral:rRNA from 1 species
UACGAAGGGGGCUAGCGUUGCUCGGAAUCACUGGGCGUAAAGGGUGCGUAGGCGGGUCUUUUAAGUCAGGGGUGAAAUCCUGGAGCUCAACUCCAGAACUGCCUUUGAUACUGAGGAUCUUGAGUUCGGAGAGGUGAGUGGAACUGCGAGUGUAGAGGUGAAAUUCGUAGAUAUUCGCAAGAACACCAGUGGCGAAGGCGGCUCACUGGCCCGAUACUGACGCUGAUGCACGAAAGCGUGGGGAGCAAACAGG